GAAUGUGCCACCUCCACCCCUUGCUCACAUCCCUUUCCUUUGCUUCCUGCCUCAAGCGGAAAGGAGCUCAGAUUUGGCUGAAGAACCUAGCAGAUGCCUUCAGGCAACAAGGAGUACAAGAAAGCAUCGAUUUCUUGAUCGCUUCAUAGCCCAGCUGCAUCCUAGGCAGCUGCAGAACCAAAGGUGAUAUGGGAGAAGACCGGACUGUGCCAUCCACCUUGAUCAGCAACCACAGCGAAGCUGUAAGCCGUAAAACAUAAUGAGGAAAUGUGGAGCCUUGCCUCCCCAGCCAGCGCCAACACC